GUGAACUACUACUCAUUUGAGUAAGUAUCGAUACUUUCCCAGUAUCGUAUCGUCCCUAGGCUUGAGUAUUGCUUCUGCCCAGCCAUUGGCCGAGAUUUGUCGUUGAACCGUCAAACAGUUUUUAAGGUUAUAUUACUGUUUAUGUUAUGUUUUUAGAUUUUAAUUUUUUGAUUUUACCAUCGUUUACAAUGUAAGAGUCGACAAAGUUUUGAAUAUUUGGACGUAAUAGAGGAGGAAAUAAACGAAGACCAACGUGUUAGUAAAAUAUAUAUACGAGAUGGCAAAAAUCCUUUGGAGUUUUUCGCGCAUGUACAAUUUCGGAAAAGAUUUUGUUUUUUAAAGGCCACUAUUAUUGAGCUGAUAUCGCCUUUUUUAAACGAACCAUUAUUGAAAGCGGAUGAUCGUGGCCUACCAAUAUCAAAUAUCACCCAUUACUCAAUUGCUGAUGCAGUUCGCUCUUCUAUACGAAGGAUGACUGGCUGAGGUAAUUCUAACAACCACACGGGGAAUAAUAAGGAGAUUCUGCCACUUUUUUUAGCGGUUCUGUACACAUUCAGUAGUAAAAUUGACGCAGAAAGACCGUGAAACCAAGUAUUGAAAUGAGCACUCACAAUACAAUAAAGUUAACAUUGUAUAUACUU